rnacentral:rRNA from 1 species
CCUACGGGAGGCAGCAGUGAGGAAUAGUGGUCAAUGGGCGGAAGCCUGAACCAGCCAAGUAGCGUGCGGGAUGAAGGCCCUACGGGUCGUAAACCGCUUUUGCAAGGGGAUAACACCCGCCACUUGUGGAGGUCUGCAGGUACCGUGCGAAUAAGGGCCGGCUAAUUCCGUGCCAGCAGCCGCGGUAAUACGGAAGGCCCGAGCGUUAUCCGGAUUCAUUGGGCUUAAAGGGAGCGUAGGCGGGCGUUCAAGUCAGCUGUAAAAUCGCGCGGCUCAACCGCGCCCCGCCGUUGAAACUGGACGCCUUGAGUUCACCACAGGCAGGCGGACUUCGUGGUGUAGCGGU